rnacentral:rRNA from 1 species
AUUGAACGCUGGCGGCAGGCCUAACACAUGCAAGUCGAGCGAGCGGCGGACGGGUGAGUAAUGUAUGGGGACUGCCCGCUAGAGGGGGAUAACUACUGGAAACGGUAGCUAAUACCGCAUACUAUCGGAUAACCCAUAUGGGAUUAGCUAGUAGGUGAGGUAAUGGCUCACCUAGGCGACGAUCCCUAGCUGGUCUGAGAGGAUGAUCAGCCACACUGGGACUGAGAAACGGCCCAGACUCCUACGGAGGCAGCAGUGGGGAAUAGUGCACAAUGGGCGCAAGACUGAUGCAGCCAUGCCGGGUGUAGGAAGAAGGACCUAGGGUUGGAAAGUACUUUCAGGCGGGAGGCGUUACCGACAGAAGAAGCACCGGCUAACUCCGGGACAGCAGCCGCGGUAAUAC